AUUGAACGCUGGCGGAAUGCUUUACACAUGCAAGUCGAACGGCAGCACGGACUUCGGUCUGGUGGCGAGUGGCGAACGGGUGAGUAAUAUAUCGGAACGUGCCCAGUCGUGGGGGAUAACGUAGCGAAAGCUACGCUAAUACCGCAUACGAUCUACGGAUGAAAGCGGGGGAUCGCAAGACCUCGCACGACUGGAGCGGCCGAUAUCAGAUUAGGUAGUUGGUGAGGUAAAGGCUCACCAAGCCGACGAUCUGUAGCUGGUCUGAGAGGACGACCAGCCACACUGGGACUGAGACACGGCCCAGACUCCUACGGGAGGCAGCAGUGGGGAAUUUUGGACAAUGGACGCAAGUCUGAUCCAGCCAUUCCGCGUGCAGGACGAAGGCCUUCGGGUUGUAAACUGCUUUUGUACAGAACGAAAAGGUCUCUAUUAAUACUAGGGGCUCAUGACGGUACUGUAAGAAUAAGCACCGGCUAACUACGUGCCAGCAGCCGCCGUAA
rnacentral:rRNA from 1 species